GACAGUUUUAUUUAAAAUGAGAAAAGAAAUCUCAACCAGUGAUUGGAGGCGUGGAGAUGUAGAUUUCUUAUUCUGAGCCGGCCUUAGGCCACCGACCAGGAAAGCUCGGGAGGAAUGCUUCUGGUUAUAAACUGCCCCGUGCUUUCCACCUGGAACACGUACACUCCAGCAAUCCCACCACGCCCACAGGCCCGGGCAACCGCUCAGCUCUGCGGCUUCACCUCCCUCCGCUCUGCCUUAGAUCCACCUCUGACAGCAAGGUCUCACUGCAACAGUGAAGAGCCAGCUGGGUCACUUAGCCUCUGGGGAAAGAGACCGCCUGCCACCUUCCAACCAUUUCAGGUGAUUUUGACGUACAGUUGCCACAGCUCCCAGCACUCCCCAGCCCCAUCCCAAAGUUGUAGGUCACACGGUGCGUAGGUCUGUAACCCAGACCCAUUCGCGACUUAAUGGACAAAGUAAAAUAGGAAAGUAGAGUUAAGAAAAAAAAGAAAAAAAAGAAAAAAAAUCAAUAGUCCAAUUGUCCUUGAUGUGAACAAGUACGUGUGGAACACAGAAAGGUAAUGUUAGCCUUUUACAACUAAUCAUAAAAUAAUUCCAGCGCUUUAUAAUUUAAAUAAAUGGAGAAAUCAACAGCACAAAUCUGCGAUGCGCUGUCUGAACAUCUAGAACACAGCUGGGCCUACUACUGCACUGCACGGGGGAAAAGUUUUAAAUAUUUCUCUUUGAAGUCGAGUGCACGGGUUCCUUCCCAACUUCUGUGCGCUCUCCCGAAUAAAGACCCGGGUAGGUGGGUUAGAGCUGUAACUACCGCCUCCAGGUGACACUUAACCCGCACCGCCUGCUGGGUAAAGAAGACCGCUCCGAUCCGAAGUCCCCGUUUGCGACUUGAGAGACCGGAGCGACGCUCCAUCGCGCCAAGCUACAGGGUGAACAAUCGUCGUCUGCAGUGCCACUCCAGCACAGUGCUCCUGCCGAGCAGCCAGCUGCCCGAGGACGGAAACCGUGAGCCACGGGAAACCAUUCCUCCUUUAAAGUAGGGGAAGAACCUGGAAUCCCACUGCAGAAAGAUUCCAAGCACCACAAAACCCAGGAAUAUUUAUUUGGAAAAGCGAAAAACUUUCCAAGAAUGAGAAAGUCCUGAUGAACAUUUGAUCGGAAGUUCUAGUCAGCUAUCCUGUGCAUGGCUCACUGAACCACCAGACCGUUUGCCAAUACCCUCUGAUGCAGUGGUGUAUCUGAGCAUAGACUCAAAGGUGGAGGAGCACAAGAGAGCUGUCCGCGUGCCAGAGACCUGAGGAAUUCGGGUGAGGUCCUAGAGCCAGGGCAGCGCCCCAGCCAGGCCGCACCACGAGGCCGACGAGGCCGUGCAGGAAGCGAAGAAUCCACGCAGAGAACCUGGAGACGACGCUCAAGGUGAAGCGACCAGAGCUCCCAGCCCGCGCGUGCCAAAGGCCUGCAGACAAGCUCGAGGCACGGCAAAGCCCACAGCUGCUCCCAAGAGGACAUCGGCCAUCCUCGGGGCAGGCGAAGCUCAGCCCGGAGGACACAGAAGCUUCUCCGAGGAAAACCAGCGGCACUAAGCGCUCCCAGGAGAGUGGCUCCUCAGAAGGCCUGAAUUUGAGCCCCAGAAGACAGCUGGAGACCCAUACACCAGGCAAGGACUCUUCUUCCCACCAACGCUCAGCUUUGUUUUUCUUUCUCACUAACUUUCACAAGUUCAAUCCCCGGCAUGGGUCUACACCGGCUGCCCGGCUGCCUCCUACACCCCAGGAACACAGAGAAUAACCGUGUCGGGCUCCCCUUCUCUAGUGCCCUGUGCUCAGGGAAGUAGCAUCUUGGUUUACAAACGUGGGGCCAGAUCCUGCCGAAAAGGGAAGGGACGGCACAGGGAGUCGCUGGAGGUGAGCACACAGCCCAGAGAGGCCCACUGCCUUGCGCACGCUCCACUGGAGCCCCGCGCGCCAGACACGGCCAGGGCGCCUUCCGCCUAGUGUUACAUAAUGACCAAACUCCCGGGCCCCAAUACCUUCUCUGAAAAAAUAUUAAACAUUGGAUAAAUAUCGCUUACCCCAAAACUAAUGCCUCCAUCAGCAGAUGUUCUGUACUAUGUUGUUUCAUUUCCUCCAUUUUUUUGGUCAUUAUUGUCCUGUUUAUUGAUGUCUGCUUGUUAAUUGUUACUUUCUGCAACCUACCCAAAGAACAUAAACUUCACCAAAGACCUCUCCUGCUCUGUCCAGUUUUAUUCCAGUGCAGAAGAGUUACUGGCAUGUAGACACUGUUCAGAAAAUGCUAGUUAAAUCAAAGAAUUUGAAGACAUCUCAUAUUUAAAGUGCACUUUAAGAAAUAUGUGAAUGAUAAAAGGUAGUUAGAAAUAUUAGGAUGGCUACUUUCAACAUUUGAAAGAGCUGCAGAUCAUCCCCUAAGUACUUUAUAAAAUCUGGUGAGUCACAAC